UAAUAAGGGCAUCUGGUGGAUGCCUUGGCGUCAAGAGGCGAUGAAAGACGUGGCACUCUGCGAUAAGCUACGGUGAGCCGAGAGCAGGCUUUGACCCGUAGAUUUCUGAAUGGGGAAACCCCACCCAAUAGGGUGAUCAUGUUGUGAAUACAUAGCAGCAUGAGGCGAACCCGGUGAACUGAAACAUCUCAGUAACCGGAGGAAAGGACAUCAACCGAGACUUCGCUAGUAGCGGCGAGCGAACGCGAACCAGGCCAGUGGCUUAUGCAUAAGAACCGGAACGAUCUGGAAAGGUCGGCCAUAGUGGGUGAUAGCCCCGUACGGGUAGAAAAUGCAUAAGUCCUCGAGUAGGGCGGGACACGUGAAAUCCUGUCUGAAUAUGGGGGGACCAUCCUCCAAGGCUAAAUACUCCUAACUGACCGAUAGUGAACCAGUACCGUGAGGGAAAGGCGAAAAGAACCCCUGUGAGGGGAGUGAAAUAGAACCUGAAACCGUAUACGUACAAGCAGUGGGAGCCACUUCGUGUGGUGACUGCGUACCUUUUGUAUAAUGGGUCAGCGACUUAUAUUUAGUAGCAAGGUUAAGUGAAUAACGGAGCCGUAGCGAAAGCGAGUGUUAACUGCGCGUUUAGUUGCUAGGUAUAGACCCGAAACCCGGUGAUCUAGCCAUGGGCAGGUUGAAGGUUGAGUAACAUCAACUGGAGGACCGAACCCACUAACUUUGAAAAGUUAGGGGAUGACUUGUGGCUGGGGGUGAAAGGCCAAUCAAACCGGGAAAUAGCUCGUACUCCCCGAAAUGCUUUUAGGAGCAGCGUGGAGGUUAAGUCUGACGGAGGUAGAGCUACCAAUAGGACUAGGGGGAGUCAAAUCCUACCAAAUCCUGAUGAACUCCGAAUGCCGUAAUAUAUACUCUGCAGUGAGGGCUAGGGUGCUAAGGUCCUAGUCCGAGAGGGAAAGAACCCAGAUCUGCAGCUAAGGUCCCAAAGUAUAUGCUAAGUUGAACUAAGGCGGUUCAGUUGCUGAGACAGCAAGGAGGUUAGCUUGGAAGCAGCUAUUCCUUUAAAGAGUGCGUAACAGCUCACUUGUCGAGCGACAGAGCAUCGAUAAUAAUCGGGCAUCAAGCAUAUCACCGAAGCUUAGGACUAUUUAUAGUGGUAGGGGAGCAUUCUAUUCUGCGUUGAAUGGAUAUCGUGAGGUAUCCUGGAGCGUAUAGAAAAGCAAAUGUAGGCAUAAGUAACGAUAAUGCGGGUGAGAAACCCGCACACCGAUAGACUAAGGUUUCCACGGCAAUGCUAAUCAGCCGUGGGUUAGUCAGGACCUAAGGCGAACCCAAACGGGGUAGUCGAUGGACAACGGGUUAAUAUUCCCGUACUACCAUACUCAGUGAUGGGGUGACGGAGUAGUGAAAGCGCUGCGGACUGACGGAAUAGUCCGUUGAAGGGUGUAGGUAUUAAGACAGUAGGUAAAUCCGCUGACUUAGCUGAACCUGAUAGUACCACAAUCCUUCGGGAGCGUGGAUAAUGCGCCUAAUCAGACUUCCAAGAAAAACCUCUAAACUUAUGGAUAUGGCACCCGUACCGUAAACCGACACAGGUAGUCAAGGAGAGAAUCCUAAGGUGCUCGAGUGAUUCAUGGCUAAGGAACUAGGCAAAAUGGCCCUGUAACUUCGGGAGAAGGGGCGCCCCGCAUAUGCGGGGCCGCAGUGAAAAGGCCCAGGCGACUGUUUAACAAAAACACAUGGCUUUGCGAAAUCGAAAGAUGAUGUAUAAGGCCUGACACCUGCCCGGUGCCGGAAGGUUAAGAGGAGAUGUGCAAGCAUUGAAUUGAAGCCCCGGUAAACGGCGGCCGUAACUAUAACGGUCCUAAGGUAGCGAAAUUCCUUGUCGGGUAAGUUCCGACCUGCACGAAUGGUGUAACCAUGGCCACGCUGUCUCCACCCGAGACUCAGUGAAAUUGAAAUCGCAGUGAAGAUGCUGUGUACCCGCACCUAGACGGAAAGACCCCGUGAACCUUUACUACAGCUUGGCACUGAACAUUGAACCUACUUGUGUAGGAUAGGUGGGAGGCUUCGAAGCAUAGACGCUAGUUUAUGUGGAGCCGUCCUUGAAAUACCACCCUGGUAUGUUUGAUGUUCUAACGUUGGUCCCUUAUCGGGAUUGCGGACAGUGUCUGGUGGGUAGUUUGACUGGGGCGGUCUCCUCCCAAAUAGUAACGGAGGAGCACGAAGGUUAGCUAAUCACGGUCGGACAUCGUGAGGUUAGUGCAAUGGCAUAAGCUAGCUUAACUGCGAGACAGACACGUCGAGCAGGUACGAAAGUAGGUCAUAGUGAUCCGGUGGUUCUGUAUGGAAGGGCCAUCGCUCAACGGAUAAAAGGUACUCCGGGGAUAACAGGCUGAUACCGCCCAAGAGUUCAUAUCGACGGCGGUGUUUGGCACCUCGAUGUCGGCUCAUCACAUCCUGGGGCUGAAGUCGGUCCCAAGGGUAUGGCUGUUCGCCAUUUAAAGUGGUACGCGAGCUGGGUUUAGAACGUCGUGAGACAGUUCGGUCCCUAUCUGGUGUGGGCGUUGGAUGAUUGAUGGGAGCUGCUCCUAGUACGAGAGGACCGGAGUGGACGAACCGCUGGUGUUCGGGUUGUCAUGCCAAUGGCAUUGCCCGGUAGCUAUGUUCGGAACGGAUAACCGCUGAAAGCAUCUAAGCGGGAAGCCGGCCCAAAGAUGAGUCAUCCCUGAACUUUAAGUUCUGGAAGGGUUGUUAUAGACGAUGACGUUGAUAGGCAGGGUGUGGAAGCGUUGUAAGGCGUUAAGCUAACCUGUACUAAUUGCCCGAGAGGCUUAACC
rnacentral:rRNA from 1 species